rnacentral:rRNA from 1 species
CCUACGGGAGGCAGCAGUGGGGAAUAUUGCGCAAUGGGCGAAAGCCUGACGCAGCGACGCAGCGUGAGGGAUGAAGGCCUUCGGGUUGUAAACCUCUUUCAGCGGGGACGAAGCGAAAGUGACGGUACCCGCAGAAGAAGCACCGGCUAACUACGUGCCAGCAGCCGCGGUAAUACGUAGGGUGCAAGCAUUGUCCGGAUUUAUUGGGCGUAAAGAGCUCGUAGGCGGCUUGUCACGUCGGGUGUGAAAACUUGGGGCUCAACCCCAAGCCUGCACUCGAUACGGGCUAGCUAGAGUGUUGCAGGGGAGACUGGAAUUCCCGGUGUAGCGGUGAAAUGCGCAGAUAUCAGGAGGAACACCGGUGGCGAAGGCGGGCCUCUGGGCAACUACUGACGCUGAGGAGCGAAAGCGUGGGGAGCGAACAGGAUUAGAUACCCUGGUAGUCCACGCCGUAAACGGUGGGCGCUAGGUGUGGGGAACCUUCCACGUUCUCUGUGCCGCAGCUAACGCAUUAAGCGCCCCGCCUGGGGAGUACGGCCGCAAGGCUAAAACUUAAAUGAAUUGACGG